rnacentral:tRNA from 1 species
GGAAGCUUAGGUUAUAAGACCAAGAGCCUUCAAAACUCUAAGAGAAGCUAAAUACUUCAGCAUCCG